AAAAAUUUAGUUUAAUAAAAACAUCAGUUUGUCAAAUUGAAUAUACUUAAGAAGUAAUUUUUU
rnacentral:tRNA from 3 species